rnacentral:rRNA from 1 species
GUUACACCUUCGGGUGUGAUAGUGGCGCACGGGUGAGUAACGCGUACGCAAUCUGCCCUUAAGCGGGGAAUAGCCCUGGGAAACUGGGAGUAAUACCCCAUGAUGUUGUGAUGCUGCAUGGUAAUACAACUAAAGUUGAGGCGUUUAAGGAUGAGCGUGCGUCUGAUUAGCUAGUUGGCAGGGUAACGGCCUACCAAGGCGAUGAUCAGUAGGGGGCGUGAGAGCGUGGCCCCCCACACGGGUACUGAGACACGGACCCGACUCCUACGGGAGGCAGCAGUAAGGAAUAUUGGGCAAUGGGCGGAAGCCUGACCCAGCCAUCCCGCGUGCAGGAUGACGGCCCUAUGGGUUGUAAACUGCUUUUAUUGGAGAAGAAAGAGGUGCAUUUAUGUGCUUUUGACGGUAUCCUAUGAAUAAGCACCGGCUAACUCCGUGCCAGCAGCCGCGGUAAUACGGAGGGUGCAAGCGUUAUCCGGAAUCACUGGGUUUAAAGGGUGCGUAGGCGGCUUAAUAAGUCAGUGGUGAAAGCUGGCAGCUUAACUGUCAAACUGCCUUUGAUACUGUUGAGCUUGAAUCAGGUUAAGGUAGGCAGAAUGUGGCAUGUAGCGGU